rnacentral:rRNA from 1 species
AAAAGUAAAAGACGGUCUUGCUGUCACUUAUAGAUGGAUCCGCGCUGCAUUAGCUAGUUGGUAAGGUAACGGCUUACCAAGGCAACGAUGCAUAGCCGACCUGAGAGGGUGAUCGGCCACACUGGAACUGAGACACGGUCCAGACUCCUACGGGAGGCAGCAGUAGGGAAUCUUCCGCAAUGGGCGAAAGCCUGACGGAGCAACGCCGCGUGAGUGAUGAAGGUCUUCGGAUCGUAAAACUCUGUUAUUAGGGAAGAACAUAUGUGUAAGUAACUGUGCACAUCUUGACGGUACCUAAUCAGAAAGCCACGGCUAACUACGUGCCAGCAGCCGCGGUAAUACGUAGGUGGCAAGCGUUAUCCGGAAUUAUUGGGCGUAAAGCGCGCGUAGGCGGUUUUUUAAGUCUGAUGUGAAAGCCCACGGCUCAACCGUGGAGGGUCAUUGGAAACUGGAAAACUUGAGUGCAGAAGAGGAAAGUGGAAUUCCAUGUGUAGCGGUGAAAUGCGCAGAGAUAUGGAGGAACACCAGUGGCGAAGGCGACUUUCUGGUCUGUAACUGACGCUGAUGUGCGAAAGCGUGGGGAUCAAACAGGAUUAGAUACCCUGGUAGUCCACGCCGUAAACGAUGAGUGCUAAGUGUUAGGGGGUUUCCGCCCCUUAGUGCUGCAGCUAACGCAUUAAGCACUCCGCCUGGGGAGUACGACCGCAAGGUUGAAACUCAAAGGAAUUGACGGGGACCCGCACAAGCGGUGGAGCAUGUGGUUUAAUUCGAAGCAACGCGAAGAACCUUACCAAAUCUUGACAUCCUUUGACAACUCUAGAGAUAGAGCCUUCCCCUUCGGGGGACAAAGUGACAGGUGGUGCAUGGUUGUCGUCAGCUCGUGUCGUGAGAUGUUGGGUUAAGUCCCGCAACGAGCGCAACCCUUAAGCUUAGUUGCCAUCAUUAAGUUGGGCACUCUAAGUUGACUGCCGGUGACAAACCGGAGGAAGGUGGGGAUGACGUCAAAUCAUCAUGCCCCUUAUGAUUUGGGCUACACACGUGCUACAAUGGACAAUACAAAGGGCAGCGAAACCGCGAGGUCAAGCAAAUCCCAUAAAGUUGUUCUCAGUUCGGAUUGUAGUCUGCAACUCGACUACAUGAAGCUGGAAUCGCUAGUAAUCGUAGAUCAGCAUGCUACGGUGAAUACGUUCCCGGGUCUUGUACACACCGCCCGUCACACCACGAGAGUUUGUAACACCCGAAGCCGGUGGAGUAACCUUUUAGGAGCUAGCCGUCGAAGGUGGGACAAAUGAUUGGGGUGAAGUCGUAACAAGGUAGCCGUAUCGGAAGGUGCGGCUGGAUCACCU